GACGAACGCUGGCGGCGUGCUUAACACAUGCAAGUCGAACGGAAAGGCCCUGCUUUUGUGGGGUGCUCGAGUGGCGAACGGGUGAGUAACACGUGAGUAACCUGCCCUUGACUUUGGGAUAACUUCAGGAAACUGGGGCUAAUACCGGAUAGGAGCUCCUGCUGCAUGGUGGGGGUUGGAAAGUUUCGGCGGUUGGGGAUGGACUCGCGGCUUAUCAGCUUGUUGGUGGGGUAGUGGCUUACCAAGGCUUUGACGGGUAGCCGGCCUGAGAGGGUGACCGGCGACAUUGGGACUGAGAUACGGACCAGACUCCUACGGGAGGCAGCAGGGGGGAAUAUUGCACAAUGGGCGGAAGCCUGAGGCAGCAACGCCGCGUGCGGGAUGACGGCCUUCGGGUUGUAAACCGCUUUCGCCUGUGACGAAGCGUGAGUGACGGUAAUGGGUAAAGAAGCACCGGCUAACUACGUG
rnacentral:rRNA from 1 species